UCGCAAAUUGACAAUUGGUCCAAAUCAUUUGGUUUGGUGAGAAAAAAAAUGGCUUAAUGUGAAGAAUGAGAAGGGUCCAAAUACAUUUUGCUAUGGUGACUUACACUCAAGAAUAGGAGUUUGAUCAUUAUGCAAAAUUUAUCUAAGAAAAGGAGCAAUUAAUGCAUACAUAAAUCGGUUCUCAUCAUUGUACCCUUUUCCUAGACAAUUUUUAAGUUCUACCCUUUCUUUUCUUCAUCUCAAAUCCCAAAUGUACACCCAUUUUUAUCUCUUACCCAAUGAACACUCUUUU
rnacentral:lncRNA from 1 species